rnacentral:rRNA from 1 species
UACAGAGGUCCCGAGCGUUGUUCGGAUUCACUGGGCGUAAAGGGUGCGUAGGUGGUUAGGUAAGUCCGAUGUGAAAUCUCCAGGCUCAACCUGGAAAUGGCAUUGGAUACUAUUUAGCUUGAGGAGUGGAGGGGGGACUGGAAUUCUCGGUGUAGCAGUGAAAUGCGUAGAUAUCGAGAGGAACACCCGUGGCGAAGGCGGCUCUCUGGGACGGUACUGACGCUGAGACGCGAAAGCGUGGGGGAGCGAACAGG